AGGUGUUGGGGGACAGGCGGAAUGAGAGGCUGUAAAGGGGGUGAAGGGCUCACCCGAAAGACCCUCUCCGGCGGAGAGGAGAGAGAGGAUCGGGGCAGCACAUGAGAUGGGCAGGAAUGAGGUUUCUGUGUUUGCGAGGCAGGGCUGAGAAGGGAAGGGAAGCAGCAAACUGCCUGGCUUAUUUCGGGUGCUGAUGACGACCAAAUCCCAAACCCUUCUCUCAGGGAAAAGUCAGUUGAAUAUCAGUGUUUCUUCCGAGGCUGGGCUGUGGUUUGAGACUUAAGAACAGGUUGCAACUACUCCCCGCUGUAGCGAGCAACAAAUGUCUCGAUUUGUUCUUGCUUUGGAAAGAAUAUUUGCUGACCAUCAAAAUGCAACAGUUGCUGCUUGUUUUGACCUUUUCUGUGGGGCAUGCUUCUUGCUUUUGAGAGUCCUGAAGUCACAAACUACCUGGCUGUGUCUUUGCAGGAGGCCAGUUUUACUUGGCAGGAGAAGGUUAUAGUUAAUAUCGGAAUGGUUAUCCUGACUACUGUCAGUGGCCUAGGAGAUGCCUGGAAGAUGGUGAGUGCAUGGUGAUUCCUUCCUGGGAAGAUCUCCUUGUUCCAGGGAUGAGAGAUACCAGGAGGCCCUGAACCACACGGUGGCUGAAAUAUUUCACAGGUGUAAGAUGUGAUUCUUCAUUCCAGGAAACCCUAAAAGGAUGUUCCUUUGCAUGGAAAAAGGCGAAGAAACAGUGAAAAAGGAGAAGUCCACACUGGGAGAAAAACUAUUUUGUAUAGCAUAAUAACCUUGUCAGGAAACAGAAAACAAAGUCCUGCCCUAUCUCAAGCUGUGGAAAACUUGAACUCACAAGAAACAAUAAGCUCAAACCGUAUAAGAGAAAGUGACUCAAACUUUUGAUAUUAAAAAAGAGGAUCUGUAAUUCUGAAGUGAUUUUCAAAUCUGCAUUUAGGACCGCUCAUCCAAGAUAAUGUGGAUUUUCCCAGCCAUUUGGAAGGUGGUAUAGUGUGAUCAUGCUAAGGAAUUCAUGCUGGAUUAAAAAUGUCUCCAAAGAAGCUGCCCCAUAUGAACUUCUAAUGGAUAUGUGGAGAGCAAUGUGUUCCUUGCAUGCUCUGUGGAAAAGCCUGUCAAAACUGUAGAUAUGAGAGAUUAAUUGAGGAAAGGUUUUGAGGGAAAGCACAGUGGUCAACUCCAACAGCUACAGAGUGGCUCAAAAAUUUGAAUCAAAUUCUCCAAAUUUGAUUCAGACUUCAGAAUGGUCCCGAGACCAAGGAAUAUAGGAAAUGAGUGAAAACACAGAAAUAUUGGAAGGCCAAAAAGGCAAGAAGGAUUCAUGGAGAAACUCAGGUGUCUCUGAUAUCAAGAUUAACAAUGAGAUUUGUCCUGCUGCUUCUCAGACCUGUUGGAAGUGUACUGAAUAAUUUGCUGGCAGUCUCUGAUACAAUAUAUGCAAUCAUCUGUAGAUACCUCCUUAGUGAUGCAACUAGAGAGGAGGCUCACUGGCUGUUUCAGAGUAACGAGAGGAUAAAUUCAAUACUGAUCUUCUAUCCACACAAUGACACCUUCGAGGGUCUGAGAGGAAGUUCCAGUCAAAUCCACAUGCAUUAAGAGUCUGUAUCAUGAAUGUUCUGCUUGGGCUGCCCUGAUGCCCUGAUUUAAACCUGUUCAAGCAGGCAAAAUGGCAAGACUUGGGAGGCUCAUCUUCAAAUACAUGUAUUUUUGAACCCCACAUUUUCAGAGAUUGUGCAGCGUUGUGUCCGUGAACUUCCAGAGUUUGCAUUAAAAAGUGACAGAACAUCAGAGUGCCAGAAGCUUCUCAUAUUGUGGCCCUGAAGGUUCGAGUCUGGAGAUGAUGAAGAUCUCACCCAAUGCCAACAAGAAUGCUGCUUCCACUCGAAAAAAGCAAAUUGCUAUUUUGGUUAGAACUGGAGACUUCAAAAAUGCCACUCCUGAGCCCCAAGGUGAGAGGUGGAGAAAAGAACAGCAGAGCAGUGUGAACACGAGA